rnacentral:tRNA from 1 species
GGACGCAUAGCUCAGUUGGUUAGAGCGCUCGCCUCACACGCGAGAGGUCAUGGGUUCGAGUCCCUUUGUGUCCACCA